UGAAAAUGAUGAAAAAAUACUUGAUAAUAUUGGUGUUGGACUUGAUGAUAAUGUAUUAUUGUUUACUGAUUCA